rnacentral:rRNA from 1 species
GAUGAACGCUGGCGGCGUGCCUAAUACAUGCAAGUCGAGCGAACAGACGAGGAGCUUGCUCCUUUGAUGUUAGCGGCGGACGGGUGAGUAACACGUAGGUAACCUACCUAUAAGACUGGGAUAACUUCGGGAAACCGGAGCUAAUACCGGAUAAUAUUUCGAACCGCAUGGUUCGAUAGUGAAAGAUGGCUUUGCUAUCACUUAUAGAUGGACCUGCGCCGUAUUAGCUAGUUGGUAAGGUAACGGCUUACCAAGGCAACGAUACGUAGCCGACCUGAGAGGGUGGUCGGCCACACUGGAACUGAGACACGGUCCAGACUCCUACGGGAGGCAGCAGUAGGGAAUCUUCCGCAAUGGGCGAAAGCCUGACGGAGCAACGCCGCGUGAGUGAUGAAGGUCUUCGGAUCGUAAAACUCUGUUAUUAGGGAAGAACAAACGUGUAAGUAACUGUGCACGUCUUGACGGUACCUAAUCAGAAAGCCACGGCUAACUACGUG